UAGAGACUGCAAUUAGCGUCUCCUUUUCUUUCUGAAAACAUUUUCGGAAAAGUUAAUUUUAAAGUAGGGUAGAGCUUGAUCAGAGGUAUAACAACAUGCGGGAUUGGCUCGGGAAAACGAAACCCGAUUAGUUGGGCUUGUUCUGAUGAGGUAGAACGGUCUUCAUAGAGUUUGGAAACGUGGCCAGUAUUGCGCGCACAUAACUGGCCAUAACUAGUUUCGAUGGGGAACCAUAACCCGCUCCGUUGAAAUGUAAAGCAGACGUCUCUAGACGUGUCAAUUGCGAGUGCCUGGGACAAGACCGGACUACAGGAAAUUAAAAGGGCAAAGGUUUAUUUCUUGGUAACUCAUUUAACAAUGAGUUUACCUUCUUUAAGGUUAGGCCGGCUAUAACCGCCACUAUCGCCCUGACUAACACUGGAAAUUGUAGUUUAUAUCACUCAUACUAUAGUCUUUCAUCCCAGGGGUACUUCUACAUUGGGGUCUCACGGGAAUGCUCUUUGAAAGGUUUGGAAAGAUAAAAGGUAACAUCCACUGCAACAUGUGUACAGCUACCGCGGAGAACCAAAACAAAAGAAACUCGAAUUCUUGAAAUUUGGCUCAAGAACGUCUUGACAGACACGAAGAAGCCCGGCGAAGAAGUACCGUGAUAGUUGCAUGUACGCAAAUUUGAAAUGGAAUCACCUGGGCCGUACAAGGUUUUCAACUUGUAAUUCACGGUGUUAAACACACCGUCUGUCUGGCAAUGCCGUAUAACAUACGUUUUCCCUUUUCCCAUUUUGUGAGCCACUGAUCUAGGUAACCUUAGUUUAAUUGUUUUAAAAACUUUUUGUUUUACUUUUCUUGUACGAGCAAUGUCCUACGGACUGACAUGUUUGGCACUUUGCUGUUUCAGUUUAAUUCCGGAUAUCAAAACCAAAACAAAAAAUCCAGGUUGAGAACGACACUCCCUUUAAGUAGAGGAAGUCAUACCCUAACCAAACUUUUCCCAAUAAAACAGGAACUUGAAAUGAUAAUUUUCUUUCCUAGUAUACGAGAUAAUAUUUUUAUGACCCAUAUGUGUUGACAAACUGCGCGUAGAAAGACAAAUGGUGGAUUAAGUCAACUUAAUUAUUACUAGUGGCGCGCGACGCUGCCCUGUUCAAACACUCAUCGUUCUGUCACGAGGUAUGCGAUAAUUAAAGAAGGUUUGUUAAGCCAUAAGGAACGGAAAAGACUAAUGUGACGUAAAAAGGGCUGAAAUGGCGACAGAAACUCGAAGAACACCGGAAGUUAUUUUAGUUCAAGCGAGGAGGUGCACUUCUUCGUUUGCAAUUGAAUAGAAAGGCGUAAUUACUGGAACGCCAAAAUAUCGCGUUUAGUUUGAUAUGGCUGCAGGGCUGGCGCUACAGUUAAUGUUUUGACUUUGUCAACCCACGCCCUGACCAUUUUUGGUCACCGUUGAGAUUGUGUUACACGAAUUUGUCGUUCACAGUUCAUGCACCCAGUCGCAUUGACGUCAUCGCUGACCGGAAGCACUCGCGUUGAAAUAAGCUUGAACGCGGUGUGUCUUGUCAGUAUGACCUCGUGGCGCUUAGCAAUCCAUUCGUACUCGCAACUCGAGAAACAAGUCGCUAAAUCUCCUGAACGACCUUGAAAGCUAGAGACGAAAGGUACUUUAAACUGAAACCAAUAAAAUAUGGCAAAAAGAAAGUUGUUGGUAAUCUGUCUGAUUGCGUUGGAGCUGGUGGACAUGGCUGUAUCGGCUAAAAAAGUGAAAUAUUUGGACAACCUUUUAUGUAAAACGUACGAGACCGUGGUUCCUGUAGAUCCCUCCAAUCACGGUUAUUACCCGUUUUUUGUCAAGCUCCAUCGCUGCGCCGGCUCGGCGAGCACAGUUUCUCCAAAAGUGCAGCAUUGUGUGGCCCACAGCUACGACGAAUUAAGCAUUCAAGUUUUUUCGCACUCGUCCAACUUUCGGUCAACCACCAUUACGAUGAAGAAUCACACAAGCUGUGCUCAUGAAUGCGUCACCAGUCCGGAUGAGUGCAAUUUUGCCGUAGAGGACUGGGACGAUCAACACUGUACGUGCAAGUGCAGAUACCCUGAUGGACCGCCAGAAGAAUUCGCCUGCAAGGAUGGCUUUAGGUAGGUCCUUGAAUGGUUUAAUUAAUCUUACAAGGAUUCGGUUUGGUGUUCGACGUCUAGCAGCUCAGCAGGUCGGUUUCCAAAUCAGGUGUCCGUAGAGAGGCGGCUGAAGGUGUUGCCUCUCUCUCUGGAAGGGGUCUAACAGGGGAUCGAGUUAUUAGUUAUUAGGGGCGCGAUACGCGCGAGAUACGAGUCUGGGCCCACGCGCGCGGUCUCACUCGCGAAUCUCUACAACUCACUCCGUAUCAUUACUAGAGUGCUGCCUCUUCAAGCUAGACGUGAUCCAUCGCUAGUUAUUUCCUAAUAUUUUGUCAGGUUGCCCCAACAAUUCAUUGGUACGCCAUACCGAAGUAC
rnacentral:misc_RNA from 1 species